rnacentral:tRNA from 1 species
UAAACAGUAGUAUAUAUAAUACGCUCAACUUCGGAUUGAAUAAUGCUAAGCCUGUUUAC